rnacentral:lncRNA from 1 species
GAUCCUUUUCUUUAUUUAUUUGAUAAUUAAAUUUGAUACUUAAGGACCGUCAACAAACUCCCCCAAGCUUACCUCUUGCUCGUCCCUGAGCAAGGAUAGACUCAGCUAUGGAUCAAAAGUAGUUGCAAUAUCUUUAAAAAAUUUGACGGUUCACAUGCUUUUAAAUAAGAUCUCAUCUCUGAGUUAGAGUAAACUGUCAAGACUUAAAACUUACUUACUUUACCUUCACCAUGGGACUUGUAACUGUCACUUCUGUCUUGAGUGGUUAAAAGAUAGAACAGUCUAGUCAAGUGCCAUGUCUCUUAUUCUUGAUCAGCUAUAGCUCUAGGGUUUUUGCAGAUUUUCAAAUAAAACUCAGAAAUUCCUUGUAUGAUUCUCUCAGGUCUCUCUUUUGUGGUAUUUUUGGAUCCUUACCAAGGCAUUGAUGGUAUAUGCCGUCUCUCAAGAUAUGUAGUAUUUGUGGUAUAAAGCAUAAUGACAUUGCCUUCUCUCUCAUCCUACUCUAAUAAGGCUUUAAUAUCUGGAGCUCAUAGGUGGGAGAUAAAGUAUACAUACUUAUAAGACAUUUAUUGCAUAGUCAAACCAUGGAUCCAAAGUAACAAGUCAAUAAGCCAAAUCAAGAUGUGCAUGUGUGGCGAAUGAAUGGUGUAUGGUGAUGAUGGUGAUAACAAUGGUGAAAACAAUGGUGGUGGAAGUCUAAUUCUACUUUUGCUCUUUUGAGGGGAUACAUACCUUCCUUGCUUUUUGAAACUUUAUGAGAUGCUCUAUAUUUUUCUUUUCUCUCAGGUGGGUAUCUUGUACCCCUAAUUCUACUGUCGGACACUUGUCCAUUUUUACCUCUCGUCUCACUUUUCUUUUCUUUCGAGGUUCCGAGCACUUGCUCCUUUUUAUUUCCUCGUAUAUAUAUAUAUAUAUAUAUAUUUUUAUUAGAGCACUCAUCUCUUGAGAUAAUAUAGCAAGUGGUAGUAACAAGAUAACUUGAGCAUUUAUUUCACAAGGGGAAAACAGAAAUAUUUUUGGUUACUCUCUCCCGGAUUAGGAGUAGAAUAUUUUUGGGUGAUUCUGGAGAUGGAAAUGAAUGGAUAUAUGUGGAUGGUACUUCCGGAGUAGAAGUAGCAUAUAUGAGUGAACGUGUAAGUGAAAUCUUGAUUUAACCACAUGACAAGCUCCUAAGGAUCUACACAGCUUGACCACACUCAAUGCUCAUAAGCAGUAAAUAUUAAAUGUGUGGCUCAAAGUCUAGCAAGAAUGUAUAUAUGGCUGUGGUAGGAAUUUAAACUCUCAUCAUACAGGAACUCAUCAUGCAACAUUUUAAAGAUUUUCAAAGAUAAAAUUCUCCAGAAUUCUAGAAUCUCUAGGAACAGAUAAACAGCAGCUCAACCUUCCCAUAUCAUAUCCGUUAACAACUUAGACUUCAGAUCAAGUUUUCAUCCCACAAGUUUAGGUCUAGAGCAAGCUUUAAAUUAUAACAGUUAUAUCUAAACUUGAGAGAGAACUUAAAAUUUGCAAAUUAGGCAGAGCAACUAUUUAUCAUAUCCAUGCUUAAGUUUUAUUUAGAUACAGAUUAGCAUAGCCACUUUAUUUAUUUAUUAAACACACUAAGCAAAAGAUAUAUAUAUAAGCAUAAAAUCUUUAUUUGGUUUUCCCAUAGUUUAUGUGUAUUUUAAUAUUCUAAAAUAAUAUAAGUAUAAAGAUAGAUAGAAAUACUUAUCGUGAUAAAUGGGGGUGCUCUCCCCCAAGCUGAAUUUUGACGUAAUUUCUCUUGGUGUAGCUGGUAGGUGGUAGAGGUGUAUUUGAAAGUCAGCAGCAUUGUGACAGCGAUUAGAAUGUCCUCCGUCUGCCAGUCUUCUUGAUUCUUAAAUUUCUGUGGAGCUCAAAUAGACAACAAAGCUUGUGGAACUGAUUAAGUGUUAGCAUAAAUAUCUAGCCUUUAUUAUGUUGAGGCUCCUUAAUAAAUGUUACUCUCUGUUUUUAUAUUUUUGUUUUAUAAAGCAGAAAAAUAUUUAUUUUAUUUUUAUGCCACCACAGUGAAUGUACUUAUGGGUUUUAUGCCACUCGUCUACUCACAUGGGGCUUAUAGUUUUUAACAUUUUUAUUUUCUUUUUAAGAUAGUGUGAAUAUGAUUAACUAAGUAAACUAUUUGAAAUAACUGAAAGGGAAAGGGUCACUACCAAGUUUACCUCUUGGCAAAGCGUUCGGUGUUUUUAAGUCCUCCGAACGGGACUCUCCAAUUUCUUAAUCGUCGUGAGGUUCGUUGGGUGGCGUAGUCGGUACUUCCGGCAGCGCCUCCUCUUCUUGUAUAGUUAUCUUCAUUUUCCAUACCUGACUCGGUGCUUCAAUCUCCUCUGGAUAAUUCUGUUUAAAUUCAACGUCUUCUGACCUUACAACUUCUCCUUCAUAGUCUGCCCAUCCGUCCUUGAUGAUCUGCCUCCUCUGGUUGCGGUUGCGUCUCUUUCUGACCUGCUUAGAUUCUUCAACGAUAUAGUCAGGGUCAGUAAAAUAACGGCGUACCUUCUCUGAGGGGAAGUGCAUAUGGACUUCUCCGGUUCCAAUGUAGAUGAUUGCUUUAACGGUGCUGAGGAACGGUCUUCCAAGGAUGAUGGGUGGAUCGUACUCAUCUUCUCCCAUCUCAACAACUUGAAAGUCUAUGUAGACAAAGUGAUCGUCUAUUUUGACUGGGACAUCAGUUACUAUUCCUUUAACUUCUCGAAAUGUCUGAUCUGCCAUCUAGAGCUGAAUGUAUGUUGGUCUUAGUGGCAUGGUCCCGAACAAGAGCCGAUAGGUGACUGCGGCCAUUAUGUUGACGCCUGAUCCGGUGUCGCAAAUCGUCUUGUAGAAGUUGUAUCCAUUUAUAGAGCAGUAGAUGCUUGGCAUUCCUGGGUCGUCCUUCUUGGUCAAAAACAGUGACUUAAGUUGGUGAUCUUGGCCUCCAUGGGCUACAGUGACCAUCUUAGCUGACUCGGCCCACACUUGCUUGUUCCUGUUUCUCCUGUUGGUCCUCUUCCUUGAUUUACGUCUGGAUUGAUCUUGAAUUUGUGUAGUCUUGUUCUUGAAGAAAAAUGUCUCCUUCUUCCCUUUGACGUAGAAACUGAUCUUGGCAGCACUGGCGUAGAUGAUAGCUCCCGUGGUAUUCAAGAAUGGCCUCCCUAAGAUGAUAGGUGCUUUCUCAUCAUUUCCAGUCUCUACCACUACGAAGUCUGCUGGGGCAUAUAAGGUACCAACUCGGACACAAAGGUUCCUCACUAUUCCUUUUGGGAAAGUUAUCGUCUGAUCUACAAACUGCAAACACAUGGUUGUUUCUAAUAAAGGAUAUGUAAAGAAUUUCUCAUAGAGUACCCUGGGUAUAAUGUUGACAUUGGAGCCAAAGUCACAGAGUGCUUCUGGAAAGUCCACCAUGCCGAUGGAGAUCGGGAUGACGGGGCGUCCUGGAUCGCCUCUCUUGACCGGCAGACGGUCAGUAGAAAAUUCAGUGACGGGGUUACUCCAAUUACCUGCAUCAAACAUGUCUACAAGAUUUGCAGAUUCUAAUCCUUCUGGUUGUGAUGGUAUACCGGGGUUAGUAGUAGGAACAGCAGCAGCUAUUUGAUUUAACUGGGAUUCAAUCAUUUUAUUAAAGCUAAUUUGAUUCUUGAUGGCAGUAGAGAAAUUAUCCAUUCUAUUAUUUAUAUUUUCUAGCAUUUUAUCAUUAGAUGCCAAUUUCUUAGAUAGAUUAUUCCAUUAGCUUACCUUGAUUAGACACUAACUCUCUCAAAGGUGGAAAAUUACUAUUGUUGUUGUAAGAAUUGUUACCUUGAUAAUUACCUGAGUAGUUAGGCCUCUGUUGAUUCCAACCUUGAUUUUGUUGAGGACGGUUGUAGUUGUUGUUGUUGUUGUUGUUGAUGUAGUUCACAUCCUCAAGCAUCUCAGGGCAGUGGUUGCCUGAGUGUCUAGUGUCUCCACACUCCUCACAAGUCAUGUGAGAGUCGUAGAUGUGCAUAACUUCUUUCUUGUCUCCAGCUCUAUCGUCGAGCUUCUUCAUGAGCAGGUCUAGCUUUGCAGACAGCAUGUCUACCUCCUUCAGCUGAUGUAUACCUCCACCUCUCUUGCGUGUCUGGGUCCUCUCUUCAUUCCAGCUUUGAUUGGACACCAUCUUCUCCACAAGAGCUGUGGCUUGUGGUAUAGUAAGUGAUAAGAAUGCUCCUCCAGCUGCAGCAUCCAUGGUUUCUCGGGCACUGUUGCCGAGUCCAUGAUAGAACGUCUGCAUCAAUAGCCAACUCUCCAUUCCAUGAUGGGGACAUUCUAGGAUGUAGUCUUGAAAGCGCUCCCAUGCUUCUGGAACAGAUUCAUCAUUUUGUUGCUGAAAACUUGUAAUCUUCCCACGGAGAGCAUUGGUCUUGCCCAUGGGAAAGAACUUUGCCAGGAAGUUUGUUGAGCAGAGUGCCCAGGUAGUAUUCUUCUCCUUUGUAGCGUAGAACCACUGCUUCGCUCUUCCUAACAAUGAGAAUGGGAAGAGGCGAAGUAGUAUAGCAUCUUUGGAAACUCCUUGUAUGGUGAAUGUGUUGCAAAUCUCCAGGAAGUGUUGUAAAUGAGCACUAGCAUCUUCGUGUGCCUUCCCACAGAACUGGUUCGAUUGCACCAUGUUGAUAAGUCCAGGCUUGAGCUCAAAGUUGCCAUCGAUCUCUGCAGCAGGUCCAGUGCGGAUGUUGUCCGUAGUGGGAGCUGAGAACUCGCGGAUUGAUUUGUUCGCCAUGGCCUCGAACUCUGAAGACAAGUUUCGGUGAUCUUCUUGAUUGGAUGAAGCUUCUUGCUGAAGUGUUGAUGAUUUCUUUAGCUUGGCUCUCGUCUUCUUGAAUAAUGCUUCAGGAUUGUCAACAAAAUUCCCUGGAAGAUGUCUUCUAUUCAUACAUUCCCCUGCAUAAGAUAAAAUAGAAAAAUAUCGGGGUAAAACUGUAUGAGAGAAUAGAUAAGCUCAAUCAUAUUAGUGAUGCGAAUGAUAACUCAAAAUCUUUUAUUCCAUUCCUGAUUAGUAAUCAACCUUCACCGGCAACGACGCCAAAAAUGCUUGUUGGGUAUUCUUAACAUCAUUACCAAAAGUAGACUAAGUUCUAAAUCUAGCAACGGUGCCAAAAAUGCCAAACCUAUCUCUCACACCACUUAAGCCAAGUUGUCAUCCCCAGCAUGAUAUGAGAGACGCGGUAUUGAUUUAUGCAAUUGCUCUUCUAAAUAAAUAAUGAAUGGGAUCUGCAAGCGCACAGAUUAAUACCGAUGUAGAAUUUUAACCGGGAAGUAUUCCAGGUAUCGUUAUUUAUAUUUUUACCACUGGGAAGGGAUUAGAAAUCAUCACUAAUGAUUACAGAAUAGAAUAUGAGAUUGAGCAUCUAUCAUUGCAUGUAUAAUUGAGAACAUUAUAUCUAACUCUUCAUACAGGGAUAAAUGUCACAUAAAAGAUAUAUGAAAUAAUAAUAGUGACAAGGAUAACUAAUCUGAUCUAGCCACAUAAUAAAUAUGAUAAGCACCUCAAUUAGAUACUCUAGAAAGUCAUUAGCCUGGUAUUAGAACGAACCACAAGAAUAUUCCCUAAGUUAUUCUUAACUAUAUAGUCUAGCAUUAUCAUAAUUAGUGCAAGCAUACUUAGCAAUCAUUGCGAGAGAAGACUACGCCCAUGCAUAGUGAUAUUAGCAAGGAAUAUGAGAAACAUAGCAAUCACUCCCCUGUAAUAAUGUUGCUCUGCCAGCCCAAUACACGAGAGGGGGACUAUAUAAGAAUCAAUGAAGUUGUCACUAUCACGAACCACCCCACGAUCUGGCAUAUUGGGUACAAUCGCAGAUAAAUACGGUAUAAGCACCACGCCUACACAAUAUCUAUCAUUUACCCAUGGAUCCGAUGGAUAAACGCUAUACGAUCCUAAGCAUGUAUAUAGAUCGUAUCUAACUAAGCCAAGUACAUAACUAUGAUAAACUAAGAACAAUAUAAUCUUGAAUAUAAGCAAGUAGAGCAAAGUCAUAAGCAAUAUAUUGAAGUAGAACAAAGUCAUAUUCAUAAUAUUGAAGAACAAAGAUAAUUAGAAAGCAAUUAGAAGCACAAUUAGAGAAUUACCAAGAAUCCUCAUGACAGAUCCAGAAACCAAUCGAAGAUUGACUCCUUCUAGUUCUAAUCCUAUGUAGCUAUGCUAAUCUAGAUAUCUAAUUGAUGUGGUGGCUCUAAUCUUGAUCAGAGGCUUCUUCUCCCUUGAUGGAACAAUGAAUUAGGGUCAAGAGGCUCUCUCCUCUAGGGGCCAGGGGGUCUGGUUUUAUAGUCCCUACAAGUGAAUAUGGGCCCUUGGAUCAAACCGACAUAGAUUGUAUGGUUUAGAUUCAUCCUUUAGGUCGGUGGAGAUCUCCCGCAAAGCAGAGUCCUGAUUGGACACAGGGGCAGGGCGGGCGCCCAGUAGGACAGGGCGGGCGCCCUAUCUCUGGCCCCGUUUCGCCUCCGCUUCGGUCUCGUGGCUUCUGGAGUCUUCUAGAUGUAAGAUAAUUGCGCAGCACGUUAAUAUCUUUAUGUAAUCCUGACAUGUGGGCCUUUCUUCCAUAUUUCCUGAUAACCCCCUGCAGAAAUAGACAAACACCAAAACUCGUGGAAUUCUGUCAGAUAAAACCCUAAGUCUAGAUCUUGAUUUCAUUUGGAUCCUUUCUUUAUUUAUUUGAUAAUUAAAUUUGAUACUUAAGGACCGUCAACAGUGGUGGCUCUAAUCUUGAUCAGAGGCUUCUUCUCCCUUGAUGGAACAAUGAAUUAGGGUUGAGAGGCUCCCUCCUCCAGGGGCCAGGGGGUCUGGUUUUAUAGUCCCUUCAAGUGAAUAUGGGCCCUUGGAUCAAACCAACAUAGAUUAUAUGGUUUAGAUUCAUCCUUUAGGUCGGUGGAGAUCUCCCACAAAGCAGAGUCCUGAUUGGACUCCUGGAGGGGGCGGGCGGCCAGGGCAGGAGGGCGGGCGCCCUGCCUCUGGCCCCGUUUCGCCUCCACUUCGGUCUCGUGGCUUCUGGAGUCUUCUAGAUGUAAGAUAAUUGCGCGGCACGUUAAUAUCUCUAUGUAUUCCCGACGUGUGGGCCUUUCUUCCAUAUUUCCUGAUAACCCCCUGCAGAAAUAGACAAACACCAAAACUCGUGGAAUUCUGUCAGAUAAAACCCUAAGUCUAGAUCUUGAUUUUAUUUGGAUCCUUUUCUUUAUUUAUUUGAUAAUUAAAUUUGACACUUAAGGACCGUCAACAAACUCCCCCAAGCUUACCUCUUGCUCGUCCCUGAGCAAGGAUAGACUCAGCUAUGGAUCAUAAGUUGUUGCAAUAUUUUAAAAAUUGACGGUACACAUGCUUUUUAAAUAAGACCUCAUCUCUGAGUUAGAGUAAACUGUCAAGACUUAAAACUUACUUACUUUACCUUAACCAUGGGACUUGUAACCGUCACUUCUGUCUUGAGUGGUUAAAAGAUAGAACAGUCUAGCCAAGUGCCAUGUCUCUUAUUCUUGAUCAGCUAUAGCUCUAGGGUUUUUGCAGAUUUUCAAAUAAAACUCAGAAAUUCCUUGUAUGAUUCUCUCAGGUCUUUCUUUUGUGGUAUUUCUGGAUCCUUACCAAGGCAGUGAUGGUAUAUGCCUUCUCUCAAUAUAUGUAGUAUUUGUGGUAUGAGGCAUAGUGACAUUGCCUUCUCUCUCACCCUACUCUAAUAAGGCUUUAAUAUCUGGAGCUCGUAGGUGGGAGAUAAAGUAUACAUACUUACAAGACAUUUAUUGCAUAGUCAAACCAUGGAUCCAAAGAAACAUAUCAAUAAGCCAAAUCAAGAUGUGUAUGUGUGGUGAAUGAAUGGUGUAUGGUGAUGAUGGUGAUAACAAUGGUGAAACCAAUGGUGGUGGAAGUCUAAUUCUACUUUGCUCUUUGAGGGGAUACAUACCUUCCUUGCUUUUGAAACUUUAUGAUGAGAAUGAGAUGCUCUUCUUUUUAUUGUCUCUCAGGUGGGUAUAUUGUACCCCUAAUUCUACUGUCGGACACUUGUCCAUUUUUACCUCUCGUCUCACUUUUUCUUUUCUUUCGAGGUUCCGAGCACUUGCUCCUUUUUAUUUCCUCGUAUAUAUAUAUUUUUUCUUUCUCUUUUUUUUAGAGCAUUCAUCUCUUGAGAUAAUAUAGCAAGUGGUAAUAACAAGAUAACUUGAGCAUUUAUUUCACAAGGGAAAACAGAAAUAUUUUUGGUUAUUCUCUCCCGGAUGAGGAGUAGAAUAUUUUUGGGUGAUUUUAGAGAUGGAAAUGGAUGGAUAUAUGUGGAUGGUACUUUCGGAGUAGAAGUAGCAUAUAUGAGUGAACGUGCAAGUGAAUCUUGAUUUAACCACAUGACAAGCUCCUAAGGGUCUACACAGCUUGACCACACUCAAUGCUCAUAAGCAGUAAAUAAUAAAUGUGUGGCUUAAAGUCUAGCAAGCAUGUAUAUAUGGCUGUGGUAGGAAUUUAAACUCUCAUCAUACAGAAACUCAUCAUGCAACAUUUUAAAGAUUUUCAAAGAUAAAAUUCUCCAGAAUUCUAGCAUCUCGAGGAACAGAUAAACAGCAGCUCAACCUUCCCAUAUCAUAUCCGUUAACAACUUAGACUUCAGAUCAAGUUUUCAUCCCACAAGUUUAGGUCUAGAGUAAGCUUUAAAUUAUAACAGUUAUGUCUAAACUUGAGAGAGAACUUAAAAUUUGCAAAUUAGGCAGAGCAACUAUUCAUCAUAUCCAUGCUUAAGUUUUAUUUAGAUACAGAUUAGCAUAGCCACUUUAUUUAUUUUAUUAAACACACUAAGCAAAAGACAUAUAUAUAUAAGCAUAAAAUCUUUAUUUGGUUUUCCAUAGUUUAUGUGUAUUUAUAUUCUAAAAUAAUAUAAGUAUAAAGAUAGAUAGAAAUACUUAUCGAGAUAAAUGGGGGUGCUCUCCCCCAAGCUGAAUUUUGACGUAAUUUCUCUUGAUGUAGCUAGCAGGUGGCAGAGGUGUAUUUGAAAGUCAGCAGCAUUCUGACAGCGAUUAGAAUGUCCUCCGUCUGCCAGUCUUCUUGAUUCUUAAAUUCUGUGGAGCUCAAAUAGACAACAAAGCUUGUGGAACUGAUUAAGUGUUAGCAUAAAUAUCUAGCCUUUAUCAUGUUGAGACUCCUUAAUAAAUAUUACUCCCUGUUUUUAUAUUUUUGUUUUAUAAAGCAGAAAAAUAUUUAUUUUAUUUUUACGCCAACACAGUGAAUGUACUUAUGGGUUUUAUGCCACUCGUCUACUCACAUGGGGCUUACUGUUUUUCACAUUUUUAUUUUCUUUUUGAGAUAGUAUGAAUAUGAUUAACUAAGUAAACUAUUUGAAAUAAUUGAAAGGGAAAGGAUAACUACUAAGUUUACCUCUUGGUAAGGCGUUCGGUGUUUUUAAGUCCUCCGAACGGGACUCUCCAUUUUCUUAAUCGUCCUGAGGUUCGUUGGGUGGCGUAGUCGGUACUUCCGGCAGCGCCUCCUCUUCAUGUAUAGUUAUCUUCAUUUUCCACAC